AUAUUGGACAAUGGGCGAAAGCCUGAUCCAGCCAUGCCGCGUGUGUGAAGAAGGUCUUCGGAUUGUAAAGCACUUUAAGUUGGGAGGAAGGGCAGUAAGUUAAUACCUUGCUGUUUUGACGUUACCGACAGAAUAAGCACCGGCUAACUCUGUGCCAGCAGCCGCGGUAAUACAGAGGGUGCAAGCGUUAAUCGGAAUUACUGGGCGUAAAGCGCGCGUAGGUGGUUUGUUAAGUUGGAUGUGAAAGCCCCGGGCUCAACCUGGGAACUGCAUCCAAAACUGGCAAGCUAGAGUACGGUAGAGGGUGGUGGAAUUUCCUGUGUAGCGGUGAAAUGCGUAAUAUAGGAAGGAACAUCAGUGGCGAAGCGACCACCUGGACUGAUACUGACACUGAGGUGCGAAACAUUGGGGAGCAAACAGGAUUAGA
rnacentral:rRNA from 1 species